rnacentral:rRNA from 1 species
UACGGGGGGUGCGAGCGUUGUUCGGAAUCACUGGGCGUAAAGGGAGCGUAGGCGGGUUUCUAAGUCAGGUGUUUAAUCCCGGGGCCCAACCCCGGACAGGCACUUGAAACUGGGAAUCUUGAAUAGUGGAGAGGUCAGUGGAAUUGGGGGUGUAGCGGUGGAAUGCGUAGAGAUCCCCAAGAACACCAGUUGCGAAGGCGGCUGACUGGACACAUAUUGACGCUGAGGCUCGAAAGCAUGGGGAGCAAACAGG